rnacentral:rRNA from 1 species
AACGCGAAGAACCUUACCUGGGCUAGAAUGUGCGAGACGACCUCAGAGAUGGGGUUUCCUGGGAAACCAGGCUCAAAACAAGGUGCUGCAUGGCUGUCGUCAGCUCGUGUCGUGAGAUGUUGGGUUAAGUCCCGCAACGAGCGCAACCCUUACCAGUCGUUACCAUCAUUAAGUUGGGGACUCAACUGGAACUGCCGGUGACAAACCGGAGGAAGGUGGGGAUGACGUCAAGUCCUCAUGGCCUUUAUGUCCAGGGCUACACACGUGCUACAAUGGCAUCUACAAACCGCUGCAAACUCGCGAGAGGGAGCCAAUCGGAAAAAGGAUGUCUCAGUUCGGAUUGCAGUCUGCAACUCGACUGCAUGAAGCUGGAAUCGCUAGUAAUCGCGGAUCAGCACGCCGCGGUGAAUACGUUCCCGGGCCUUGUACACACCGCGAGC